UCCACCCAUCGACCAACUCACACGUACGGCAGGAGCGGGGGAACCAGGUAAGCCGCCGGAGGGGCGUCCCACGACGCCCCGGACCGGCUCGGGGUGAAGUCGUGUCGCCGUACGGCGGCACGGCCGGGCAGCUCCCGCCCGAACCCGACAGCUCACCUCGCAGGCGACGGAGAGGAAAA
rnacentral:sRNA from 2 species